ACGCUGAUCUCUUGUGACAGCUGUUCCCGAGGCAGGCAGGCGGCGUGGAAGGGAUCGUCAUCCAGCCAGGGAUGGGUGGAGGAGGAAGAGCAGGGUGAUGUUGAAAAGCUUCAUGACCCACUUGUCUGGCGGUGCUGCUGGAAUGUAGCGCACAAGGAGCGCGAUCCGCAACCUGCAUUAAGCAGGGCAAGUAACUGGACAAAGCUAUAAAGUGAUUGGGAGGAAAGGCAUCAGCAAUCCAGCCGGCUUCAUCCUCGUCUCCGUGCUAUGAUCUUCCGCCUCAGGCGUUUGACGCCAGGGUACUUCCGCCUGCUACAGAUGCAGUUGGCCAGUGGGCCUGAAUCUGAACCUCAGGACCGGCUGAUGAAUCAGUUGGCGCUGCUCUUGGCCAUUAUGGGAUUGAGCCUGUCCUGCUACAGCGCACGGCAAAUGAGUGAAGAGACCAAGCCACAUCCGGAGCCCUGACCCUCAGCCACUGGGCAGGAGGGACCCAGCAUAAAAGAAGAUCCCAGCAAAGGAGACAGAAGCAAAGGGAAGUUGGAGACUCGGAUGUCUCCUUGGCAGUACAAGACAUAUUUUUAGGUACACUUAGCAUGCCUUGUCUGGGAUGUGUGUCUUAGAAGCAUCAUCAUCACCAGUCCUUUCUAGUGUGAUCGAAGGCUUGCUCCUGGUGCCCUUUCCAGCAGUACUGAACUCCAUUCUCCGAGACCCUCACUAAAAAAGGAGGAUAUACCAA